rnacentral:rRNA from 1 species
AGAGUUUGAUCCUGGCUCAGAACGAACGCUGGCGGCAUGGAUUAGGCAUGCAAGUCGAACGCCGGUAGCAAUACCGGAGUGGCGCAAGGGCGAGGAACGCGUGAGUGAUCUGCCCUCAAGUUGGGAAUAGCUCCUGGAAACGGGAAUUAAUACCGAAUGUGAUCAUAGAGCUGCAUGGUUUUAUGAUUAAAGGCGAAAGUCGCUUGAGGAGGAGCUCGCGUCCCAUUAGCUAGUUGGUGAGGUAACGGCCCACCAAGGCAAUGAUGGGUAGCUGGUCUGAGAGGACGACCAGCCACACUGGGACUGAGAACUACCCAGACUCCUACGGGAGGCUGCAGUCGAGAAUUUUGGGCAAUGGGCGAAAGCCUGACCCAGCAAUGCCGCGUGCGGGAUGAAGGUCUUCGGAUUGUAAACCGCUGUCGAGGGGGACGAAAUUUGACGGUACCCCUAGAGGAAGCCACGGCUAACUACGUGCCAGCAGCCGCGGUAAUACGUAGGUGGCGAGCGUUGUUCGGAUUUAUUGGGCGUAAAGGGUCCGCAGGGGGUUGAUUAAGUCUGACGUGAAAUCCCUGAGCUUAACUCAGGAACUGCGUUGGAGACUGGUUGACUAGAGUGUUGGAGAGGUGAUUGGAAUUCCAGGUGUAGCGGUGGAAUGCGUAGAUAUCUGGAAGAACAUCGAAAGCGAAGGCAGAUCACUGGACAAUGACUGACCCUCAGGGACGAAAGCAUGGGGAGCAAACAGGAUUAGAUACCCUGGUAGUCCAUGCCCUAAACGUUGUCAACUUGAUGUGAGCGGAAUUACUCCCGUUCGUGUCGAAGCUAACGCGAUAAGUUGACCGCCUGGGAACUACGGCCGCAAGGCUAAAACUCAAAGGAAUUGACGGGGGCCCGCACAAGCGGUGGAGCAUGUGGCUUAAUUCGAGGCAACGCGAAGAACCUUA